GAUGAAGAACGUAGCAAAAUGCGAUAAGUAAUGUGAAUUGCAGAAUUCAGUGAAUCAUCGAAUCUUUGAACGCACAUUGCGCCCGCCAGUAUUCUGGCGGGCAUGCCUGUCUGAGCGUCAUUUCAACCCUCAUGCCCCUUGGGCGUGGUGUUGGGGAUCGGCCAAAGCCCGCGAGGGACGGCCGGCCCCUAAAUCUAGUGGCGGACCCGUCGUGGCCUCCUCUGCGAAGUAGUGAUAUUCCGCAUCGGAGAGCGACGAGCCCCUGCCGUUAAACCCCCAACUUUCCAAGGUUGACCUCAGAUCAGGUAGGAAUACCCGCUGAACUUAAGCAUAUCAAUAAGCGGAGGA
rnacentral:misc_RNA from 1 species